rnacentral:lncRNA from 1 species
AAAAUUUACUUUUUUAGAGUUAUUUUAUUUGUGAAAAUGUUAAUAAUUAUUAGAAGAAAUUUUGCCUUUUUUAUAUUUUAUACUUUCCGUCAAAUAUCAGCCCAAUGUUAUUUUGCAGAAUUAAUCAAUAAUACAAAUAACUUGAACUUUUUAUUUCAUGCUGUGUUUGUCCUUUUACAAAACAGUAGUGAUGGCAAAUUUACAAUUUUAUCUAUUACAGUACAGCCUCAAUUCAUGUGAAUGGAACUUGUGCACAUGGGGAAGUCAAGUAUAAACUAUUACACAAAAUCAAUCUGUCAUGUAACUUCAAACUAUUAGUGAUGUGUGCACUAAACCAUAGCACUACAAUAAUUCAUUACAUAUCAAAUUGAACAUGAUGAUGAAAAAAAAACUGUAGAAAUGAUCUCAAAUGGCUUCAAAUUAUGAUACAGACCAGUGUUUUAACAUUUGAUAUGUUGACAUACUUGUUAAUAAAAAAUAAAAUAAAUAUUAAUUCCAGUAUUUGUAUAUUGUGUGAUUUUUACUUUAAAAAAUAAUUCAAAUGUUAAAAGAAUUCUGUG